rnacentral:rRNA from 1 species
GGACUACUGGGGUAUCUAAUCCCGUUCGCUCCCCAUGCUGUCGUGUCUGAGCGUCAGUUGCGAGCCAGGGCGCCGCCUUCGCCUCUGGGGUUCCUCCGGAUCUCUACGCAUUUCACCACUACACCCGGAAUUCCACGCCCCUCUCUCGCACUCCAGAGCGCCAGUCUGGCAUAACCCUGCCCGGUUAAGCCGGGCCAUUUCAUACACCACUUGGCACCCCGCCUGCACACCCUUUACGCCCAGUAAAUCCGGAUAACGCUCGCCACCUACGUUUUACCGCGGCUGCUGGCAC